rnacentral:rRNA from 1 species
UACGAAGGGGGCUAGCGUUGCUCGGAAUCACUGGGCGUAAAGGGCGCGUAGGCGGCCAUUCAAGUCAGGGGUGAAAGCCUGUGGCUCAACCACAGAAUUGCCUUUGAUACUGUUUAGCUAGAGACCGGAAGAGGUAAGUGGAACUGCGAGUGUAGAGGUGAAAUUCGUAGAUAUUCGCAAGAACACCAGUGGCGAAGGCGGCUUACUGGUCCGGUUCUGACGCUGAGGCGCGAAAGCGUGGGGAGCAAACAGG